ACAGCUCAGCCUGUAGAGCAUGAGACUCUUAAUAUCAGGGUUGUGGGUUUGAACCCCACGUUGGGUG